CCUACGGGCGGCAGCAGUGAGGAAUAUUGGUCAAUGGUCGGGAGACUGAACCAGCCAAGCCGCGUGCGGGAUGAAGGUACAGAGUAUCGUAAACCUCUUUUGCCAGGGAACAAAGGCGGGGACGCGUCUCCGGAUGAGUGUACCUGAAGAAAAAGCAUCGGCUAACUCCGUGCCAGCAGCCGCGGUAAUACGGAGGAUGCGAGCGUUAUCCGGAUUUAUGGGGUUUAAAGGGUGCGCUGGCGGUCUGUUAAGUCAGCGGUCAAAGCCCGGGGCUCAACCCCGGCCCGCCGUUGAAACUGGCAGACUAGAGUUGGCGAGAGGUAUGCGGAAUGCGCGGUGUAGCGGUGAAAUGCAUAGAUAUCGCGAAGAACUCCGAUGGCGAAGGCAGCAUACCGGCUCCACACUGACGCUGAGGCACGAAAGCGUGGGUAUCGAACAGGAUUAGAUACCCUUGUAGUC
rnacentral:rRNA from 1 species